GACGAACGCUGGCGGCGUGCUUAACACAUGCAAGUCGAACGGAAAGGCCCUGAUUUUGUGGGGUGCUCGAGUGGCGAACGGGUGAGUAACACGUGAGUAACCUGCUCUUGACUUUGGGAUAACUUAAGGAAACUGGGCUUAAUCCAGUAUAGGAGCCCCCCUUCCUUGGGGGGGGUGGGAAGUUUUCGGCGGUCGGGGAUGGAUUCGCGGCUUUCCGGCUUGUUGGUGGGGUAGUGGCUUCCCCAGGCUUUGACGGGUCCCCGGCUUGGGAGGGUGACCGGCCACAAGAGGACUAAGAUACGGAGCAGAGGCGAACAGUAGACAACAGGGGGGAAUAUGACACAGUGAGCGGGAGCGUGAUGCAGAGGCGUCGCGUGCGGAAUGACGGCCUUCGGGUUAUGAACCGCUGUCGCCUAAGACGAAGCUUUAGUGACGGUAAUGAGUGAAGAAGCACCGGCUAACUACGUG
rnacentral:rRNA from 1 species